rnacentral:rRNA from 1 species
GUAAUAGCUCACUGGUCGAGUCGGCCUGCGCGGAAGAUGUAACGGGGCUAAACCAUGCACCGAAGCUGCGGCAGCGAACGUAUCACUUAAAGCGAUUCAGCGGGUUACGAUUGACGGAGCGAAGCGACGUCAAAGCGUAUACAAAGUCGAGUCGGUUUAAGGAUACGUUCGUUGGGUAGGGGAGCGUUCUGUAAGCCUGUGAAGGUGUGUCGUGAGGCAUGCUGGAGGUAUCAGAAGUGCGAAUGCU